rnacentral:rRNA from 2 species
AAAUUGAAGAGUUUGAUCAUGGCUCAGAUUGAACGCUGGCGGCAGGCCUAACACAUGCAAGUCGAGCGGCAGCGGAAAGUAGCUUGCUACUUUGCCGGCGAGCGGCGGACGGGUGAGUAAUGUCUGGGAAACUGCCUGAUGGAGGGGGAUAACUACUGGAAACGGUAGCUAAUACCGCAUAACGUCGCAAGACCAAAGAGGGGGACCUUCGGGCCUCUUGCCAUCAGAUGUGCCCAGAUGGGAUUAGCUAGUAGGUGGG